rnacentral:rRNA from 1 species
UACGUAGGGUGCAAGCGUUGUCCGGAAUUAUUGGGCGUAAAGAGCUCGUAGGCGGUCUGUCGCGUCUGCUGUGAAAACUCGGGGCUUAACCCCGGGCCUGCAGUGGGUACGGGCAGACUAGAGUGCGGUAGGGGAGACUGGAAUUCCUGGUGUAGCGGUGGAAUGCGCAGAUAUCAGGAGGAACACCGGUGGCGAAGGCGGGUCUCUGGGCAGAAACUGACGCUGAGGAGCGAAAGCGUGGGGAGCGAACAGG